GACAGAGGAGGCAAGCGUUGUCCGGAUUAACUGGGCGUAAAGCGUCCGCAGGUGGCACGGUCAGUGGGGUGUGAAAGCCGGUGGCUUAACCGCCGGAGGCCAUCCCAAACUGCCGCGCUGGAGUCGGGCAGAGGGUGCCGGAAUUGCCGGUGUAGUGGUGAAAUUCGUAGAUAUUCGGAAGAACACCAGUGGCGAAGGCGACUUACUGGACACAUAUUGACGCUGAGGUGCGAAAGCGUGGGGAGCAAACAGG
rnacentral:rRNA from 1 species